GCACACCCAGCGGCCCCCCCGCGCUCGCAGGCUACCUUAAAAAAAACUUUGUCGGAGCGGGGCUCCUCUCCAGCGCUCGGCCAGGCAGAGAAUCCCUCGGAAAUCCACAAAACGGGGGUCGGCUCCAAAAACUUGGGUGCCCCCCCCACCCCCCCCGCGCACCUCCCCAGGCGCACCCCGCGCGCGGCGGGGCCGGGCCGGGCGCACCCAUGGGUGCCACCGCGCCUCCCCCCGGCUCUCUCCUUCCCCCCUGCGGCGUGGAAAGAAAAAAAAACAAAAACCCCGAGAUCCGAGCAUCCUCGGCUGCCAGGGCGAGACAAAAGCCUCGGGAGAUGGGAGGCGAGGAAAUGUCCACCGGGAGGAGGAGGAGGAGGAGGAAGGCGGCUGCCGGGUGGGCAGCGAGCAGCCGGCGCCUGUCCCCGGCGGGUCCCCAACAGGGAAGGGAUGAGAGCAAAGAGUGCUCCAGCCCUCGUGGCAGCGCUGAGAGCUGCAGAGCCUGCCCCAAAAGCCAUAGGAUGCCGAGGAAAAUGAGUGCUGCUCUCCUGGAGAAAGCAGCUGCCAUCGCAUGGGAAAGCAGCAGGCUCAUGUUCUCCAAAUCCAGACAAUCCUCACCCAGAAAGCUGUCCAGCAACAGAAACUUGUGAGACUGUUUUCAGGAGGGAAAACAGAGCUAUUUUCAGCCCGGGCAGCACUGAGCACCUCCAGGGUGAGCGAUGCUGCGGAGCUGGAAGCUGUGGAAGCUGCACCCCAAAGGAGAUGAUCCCUGAACACUGAAAUUGUCUUCUAUAAACAUAUAUGUAUAAACCUAUGUAUAAAUAUAUAAAAUUAUCCAUCGGGUAUUGCAGACAGUGAUAUCAAACACCUCCAGGAUGCUCUGGCCACUUUUUGUCGGUGGGGUUGGUGAUGGGACGAGCCCUGCCUGGUGCUACCUGGUGCCAGCACCACCCCGUGCCCAGGACCAGCACCAGCACUGCUCUCCAUGGCUGAGCUCCCUCCUGCGUGCCUUUUCCUGCUGCUCAUCCCUCUCUGGUGCCCAAGGUGUAAUUACCCCUCGUGUGUUUUAAGCGCAUCUGCCACCUGGAAACCACGCAGACCCCGUACCCUCGCCUUGCCCCCCUCCACCUGCACGCAGCCCCGGAGCUAGGCGCACAGACGUUUACCCACCGGUGUUUUCUCCCCCCCCCCCUGCUUGCGUCUGAGCUGCUUGACUCAAAUCUGAGCCGUUUCUCAGGGUCUGUCUCACAGCCCAGUCAACACGGAGGGAGCCGGUGCCAAAAACCCAGUUCCUUCGGAUCUGAUUGUUUGUUUUCCUCCCUUCCCAGUUUGGGAUUUUUGAAAGGGAGCCACACGAAACCAACUGCUCGCUGUUCACUGCGAAGCCUGGGGCUGCAUUUCAAUCGUUUGCCCGAGGAUCAGGUGGAUGGAGAGGGAAUUAGCUCCUCACAACAGCCCUGCGCCCGCACACGCUGCCCCUGGGGCCGUCGGCUCCCCUAAAACCACCCCAAACACCACCCCAGCACCUCCACCUCCUGCCCCCUUCAUCCCAUGCUGCUAACACUGCUGCUGUCUCCUUACCCAAAAUAUUAACUCAAGGCAGUCUGAGACGCUUCCCAAAACCCACCCUGUGAUGCUCCUCUGCUCACA
rnacentral:lncRNA from 1 species